UUUAAAAAAUGUUUUUCAUCAAUUCAGGAGUGAAUUUUUGAAAAAGAUAGAAGAGAGUAUUUCUCCUUUAAGGAUGUGCUUUUGUAUAAGAGAAUAUCAUUCUCUACAAGAGUGUGGCUAUCUUGAAAGGUGCCGGGGAAGGUUUUCCGGUUUAUCCCGGAGGGCUUGUAGCUCAGUUGGUUAGAGCGCGCGCUUGAUAAGCGUGAGGUCGGAGGUUCAAGUCCUCCCAGGCCCACCAAUUUAGAUUUGUUUAACCUGCUGUUAAUGGUUCUCUCUCCUUCAUGAAGAAGAUAUUGGAGGGGGUAAGAACCUCGUGGAAACCUUGAAUGCUCAAUAAGGCUUGAGGCUUUUUAUAAAAUGCUCGUAGUAUAUAUUAUGAGAUUUUAGUAAAAUUAUGAGGCUAUCAAGGAACUUGAUCAGUUUUGAUUUGAGGGUUAGGUUAGCGCUUUCUUUUAGGGGCCGUAGCUCAGCUGGGAGAGCACCUGCUUUGCAAGCAGGG
rnacentral:misc_RNA from 1 species